rnacentral:misc_RNA from 1 species
GGAUGAGGUCAGAGCGGUUG